rnacentral:rRNA from 1 species
AGAGUUUGAUCCUGGCUCAGAGUGAACGCUGGCGGCGUGCCUAAUACAUGCAAGUCGAACGAUGAAAUUUCUAGCUUGCUAGAAGUGGAUUAGUGGCGCACGGGUGAGUAACGCAUAGGUUAUGUGCCUCUUAGUUUGGGAUAGCCAUUGGAAACGAUGAUUAAUACCAGAUACUCCCUACGGGGGAAAGAUUUGUCGCUAAGAGAUCAGCCUAUGUCCUAUCAGCUUGUUGGUAAGGUAAUGGCUUACCAAGGCUAUGACGGGUAUCCGGCCUGAGAGGGUGAACGGACACACUGGAACUGAGACACGGUCCAGACUCCUACGGGAGGCAGCAGUAGGGAAUAUUGCUCAAUGGGGGAAACCCUGAAGCAGCAACGCCGCGUGGAGGAUGAAGGUUUUAGGAUUGUAAACUCCUUUUGUUAGAGAAGAUAAUGACGGUAUCUAACGAAUAAGCACCGGCUAACUCCGUGCCAGCAGCCGCGGUAAUACGGAGGGUGCAAGCGUUACUCGGAAUCACUGGGCGUAAAGAGCGCGUAGGCGGGAUAGUCAGUCAGGUGUGAAAUCCUAUGGCUUAACCAUAGAACUGCAUUUGAAACUACUAUUCUAGAGUGUGGGAGAGGUAGGUGGAAUUCUUGGUGUAGGGGUAAAAUCCGUAGAGAUCAAGAGGAAUACUCAUUGCGAAGGCGACCUGCUGGAACAUUACUGACGCUGAUUGCGCGAAAGCGUGGGGAGCAAACAGGAUUAGAUACCCUGGUAGUCCACGCCCUAAACGAUGGAUGCUAGUUGUUGGAGGGCUUAGUCUUUCCAGUAAUGCAGCUAACGCAUUAAGCAUCCCGCCUGGGGAGUACGGUCGCAAGAUUAAAACUCAAAGGAAUAGACGGGGACCCGCACAAGCGGUGGAGCAUGUGGUUUAAUUCGAAGAUACACGAAGAACCUUACCUAGGCUUGACAUUGAGAGAAUCCGCUAGAAAUAGUGGAGUGUCUAGCUUGCUAGACCUUGAAAACAGGUGCUGCACGGCUGUCGUCAGCUCGUGUCGUGAGAUGUUGGGUUAAGUCCCGCAACGAGCGCAACCCCCUUUCUUAGUUGCUAACAGGUCAUGCUGAGAACUCUAAGGAUACUGCCUCCGUAAGGAGGAGGAAGGUGGGGACGACGUCAAGUCAUCAUGGCCCUUACGCCUAGGGCUACACACGUGCUACAAUGGGGUGCACAAAGAGAAGCAAUACUGCGAAGUGGAGCCAAUCUUCAAAACACCUCUCAGUUCGGAUUGUAGGCUGCAACUCGCCUGCAUGAAGCUGGAAUCGCUAGUAAUCGCAAAUCAGCCAUGUUGCGGUGAAUACGUUCCCGGGUCUUGUACUCACCGCCCGUCACACCAUGGGAGUUGUGUUUGCCUUAAGUCAGGAUGCUAAACCAGCUACUGCCCACGGCACACACAGCGACUGGGGUGAAGUCGUAACAAGGUAACCGUAGGUGAACCUGCGGUUGGAUCACCU